rnacentral:rRNA from 1 species
GACGAACGCUGGCGGCGUGCCUAAUACAUGCAAGUCGAGCGGACCUCUUCGGAGGUCAGCGGCGGACGGGUGAGUAACACGUGGGCAACCUGCCUGUAAGACUGGGAUAACUCCGGGAAACCGGAGCUAAUACCGGAUACUAUGUCAAACCGCAUGGUUUGACAUUCAAAGACGGUUUCGGCUGUCACUCACAGAUGGGCCCGCGGCGCAUUAGCUAGUUGGGGAGGUAACGGCUCACCAAGGCGACGAUGCGUAGCCGACCUGAGAGGGUGAUCGGCCACACUGGGACUGAGACACGGCCCAGACUCCUACGGGAGGCAGCAGUAGGGAAUCUUCCGCAAUGGACGAAAGUCUGACGGAGCAACGCCGCGUGAGUGAUGAAGGUUUUCGGAUCGUAAAACUCUGUUGUCAGGGAAGAACAAGUGCCGGAGUAACUGCCGGCGCCUUGACGGUACCUGACCAGAAAGCCACGGCUAACUACGUGCCAGCCGCCGCCGUAA